rnacentral:lncRNA from 1 species
GAUGACCAUUUAUGUUUUCUUUCCUGUGGCUGUAUUUUACUAUUUCAACAUGCCAAAUUUUUAUGAAGAAUAUGUACAGACAAGAAUGGUAAGACUUAAAUAAACUAAAUAUACUAAAUUUAGUAUUUGAUUUUAUUACAAGGUAAUCAUGUUUUUAAUAUGGUACAAAAGAAAUUAUUGAAGAAUAAUCCCAAUGAAAAUUAGUCUCGGUUAAAUUUAGCCAGAGUUAAAAUUACAUACGAUUACAUGUUGAUAACAGUGGAAGUGGUCACCCCCUUGCGAAAGCCUGCAUACUGUAUCGAGCAGUGUAUACUGAAAUUAUAUUGAUUUUUGACAUGAUUUAUAAUGGCAAUGAAGGGUACCUGUAUUAAGUAGGGUACAUUUGCGCGCAUUGCAGCUUAAUUGAUGAGUUAAUCGAAUGAAUUACAAUGCGCCCAUCGUUAUUCUUUUACUCCGUCUAUUAACACCAGACAAUUUUACUCGUCAAGGCGCACUAAUGUGUUAAUGUUGAAAGACAUACAAAGUUCCAGAGAAGAAUUUUGAAUUGUCUGACUUUUUGGAUUAGUUCACACUUUGGUCUUUGUUGACAUGUUGUUGAUGAAUGGGUCAGGGUUAAUAUUUGUUAUUUGGUACGUUUUAGGGACAAUUAUAUCCACCAAAAGAAAACAGCAAAGUGAGUGAGAAAAACUGACUUGAAUGUUAAUUAUAUUUACUACCCUUUCUGAUAGCGAGUCUGUUCAAUGAAAUAGGAGCAUACGUCCAAACUACACACCGGCUAGCACGUUUACAAUAUAUAUGAAAAGGACGACUAACACACACCUGCGUUUAAAUCCUUAUGCUUUUGAUUUUCUUCAGUAAUUCCCACCAAUUAACAUACUUUAGAACAAGAAUUGUCUUUUUCUUUGUGCUUGUUUCACGCCGGUUCAUAUGUGAUUUUUUUCAGAAUUAUUUUGUCCAGCUAAAAAAAGCUUAAGUUUUUUGCACUUAUCAUCUGCAAACAAUUUAUUUGGACUUUUUUUGUUCCUGCAAACAAUUUCUAUAACAGUAUAAGGAUUUCUCAUUCCCGUCCAAAAAAACUUGUAUUUGUGCUUAUUUCAUAGUAACCAUAUGCGCUAUUUGCUUAUUAAAAAAUAGAAACCUCCAAUGUCAAUUGAAGAACUAAAAGCUUACGAACGAAGGCUUCAAGGAAGGAAAUCUACAGAACGUGUUGAUGAAAGAUGACAAAGACUAUCAAGGAAAAACGUAGCCUGAUGACGGUUGCAGCUGCGCAGGCUAGGAAAAACGAUAAUCUCCAUGCAAACUAGUCUGCGAACCCAGACGUCCAUGGGCGUACCGGGCGGUUGGGGGUUUGGACAAACAAAGCCAGUCGGGCAAUAUUGGCUUAUUGUAAAAAUAAAUGGGACAAAUUCUGUCAAUUUUGUGGGAAAUUCUGUCAAUUUUGUGGGAAAUAUGCUAUCUAAUAGGAAUUUUUCGUAAUCACUCCUCCCCCCGUCGACAACAAUUUUGGAAAGUUUCUCCGGAAAAAUGUUUUUGACAACUCGGGCACAAUCCGAAAAAGUCGGGCAAAUUUCUUUCCGCCCCCCCCCCCCCUAUUUUUUUCUUCCCGUACGCCCAUGCAGACGUCUCAUUCUAUGAGCGUCGGAAAUGACGUCUGGGUUGGCAGACUACAUUCAAACCAGUGAGCUUCAUAUAUAUCUGGAGUGAGAACUCGAGUGGCAGCUAUUCGACGUCAGUUCCCUUUUCUGUUGUUCUUUUUCUACGCAGUUGCAGAAAAUUCGAAUUUUGACCUCGAUUUAAAUAAUAAUACUAUGGUUUUACGAACUGAUAACUUGUGUAGCGAUACGGUCCGUUAGAACAAAGUGGAAUUAGCUUAGGAAAAUGGUAUAAAAACUGUUUAAUUAAGACCUUCAUAGCUAUUGGACGUCAAUUUCCGCCAUCUUGGCUUCUACGAAAAACAUGGUUUUCGCCAAUUCUAUUUUCCUCCGUUUUUAUAUCCGCACGUAAAGGGAUAAAUUAGUGUCUAAAUACGAAACUUAAAAGGAUAGCAACAGCUUACAAUGCGAAUCAGUUCCAAAUGCGUGUUUACCGUAUUUCCUCUCAGUUUAGCCCCCCCCCCCUAUUCCAGGAGUGCUGAAAUACAAUAAGCCCCACCCUUGGUUUAACCCCCAUUCUCUAUUAGUUAAGUAAUUAUUAAGUCAUUCUCAAUAUAAACCUAUAUAGCUAAAUAUGAACACAAACGUUCUACAUAACGUCCACUGAUGAUGCUGUGCAUAUGGCUCAAUUAUAGUAAAUCGUAUGAAAAUUUCUCCGAAUGUUGUUCUAAUGAUUAUUCUGUAAUGUUAAGUUAAAAUAUUUAUCUAAAAGAACGUGAAAAUUUAUUUAGCCGCCACGGCCCAGACCCUUAUUUAGCCCCCUCCCCCUUCUAAUAAGCCGGGGUCCAGAAUCACCUUAGACUUGCUCCAAGUCUCUCUUUCAUUGUCAUAUAGUAUUGAUCCAGUA